AGUUUUUGGAAGAGAUAUUGCCACCCUUUCUAGUCCCUAUUAGUCUAGAAAGGAUGGCAAUAUCUCUUCCAAAAACU
rnacentral:miRNA from 1 species